rnacentral:lncRNA from 1 species
GAACGUAUGCCACAAUCUGUGGCAGACAUUCAGCCCAAAGCCCAGGAUCUCCAGGCUUUGAUCAGAGAAGCCACUUUGGUUUUCAAAGAACCUGUGGAAGCAGUGGCAGGUCCUUUACGCACCUACAGAAAAAGACUACAGUUCUUGAUGAUGAGGAUAGGAGAAGUGAAUCUAGAUGAUCUGGCUCCUUCCCGCGAAUGCACACAUGACCAAUUACAGAACCUGAAGACAGCAGUACCUGAAGUAAAAGCCAUGGCACUUUAAGAGACUUCUUUCAAGAACUGCUAUAGGUAUUGAACUCCUGUAUGUGUGUUAGCUCAGUCUCCAUUUUGUUGUUUUUGCAAGGUGAUGCAGAGGUUGUUUGAGGCAGAGCAAGUGUGCGCUGAGUUGCAGCAUAGUGUGUCUGGACUGGACAGUCGACUUGCCGAGCUCCUACACUGGGAGACUGAUGCCAGGGAGCUCUACCAAAUGCUAAGGUCAACAGAUCGACAGCGGAAACAGAAGGAUCAGGAUCCAAGGGCUAAGGUCACUUGAUACCCAGUUAGACAAAUAUUUUUGUUUGUGGAAUUUUAGAAUAAAACCCUUAAAAACUCUUUGUGGGGCUCUGUAGGCAUGCAUAUCCAGUGGUCUACAGCUGGAGGGUCAGGUUGUCAUGGAGGAGCAGGAUCUGCAAGUAACGGUGAUGUCUAGUCAGAUGAGCUCUCCCAUUGAGUACCUCCACGCCACCGCCAUGCAGGACCGAGUACGAGCUGCUGUUGCUCAGUCACAGGCAAGUUAAAUCUGGGUUUGUCCAAAUAUCAAUGUAAAUAUUUUAUUUCUAAAUAGUUUACUUGACAUUUUAGGAAGCAGUUGGCAUGCUAAGCAGCCUGGGCUCAAGAAGAGAUCGAAGUAGAAGCCCUCCAGAAGCUUCUCCUCCUGCAAAAGUUUUUGUUCAGGAUAAAGAAACGCCUCAACCUCUGACCAAAGCUGGUGAAAUCUUUGUGCCAAGGAUAGUGGUGCAGGAUUACCGUGGGGAAAAGGCCAUUUCACCGGUUUCUCCCACAAUGCCGUAUUCGUAUGCCCAGGCUGUGAUACAGAGCAAACCAAAGUCGCCACCAGAAAAUCAGACACAGGAAAGCUUCGAGGCUCAGGAACAAAGACCGGUGCCGCAGCAACAGAUAACACUGACUGCAGAAAAGGAUGUAAGGCAGCAGCAGAAAGACGUCAAGGCAGAGCAAACACAAGAGGUGCAAAUGCCCAAAGAAACACUAACCUCACAACCACAGAUGGACAAGCAGCAUCAUGUAGUAGAGAGUGUACAAACGGAAAUAAAAGAGACACCUAAUGUCUCAGAGAAAACUUCCAUCCAGCAACCAGCUGAAAUAAGAAAACCCAUGAACUCAGAGGAGCUCCAAAUAAGGAAGAACCAGGCUAUGAAGAACCGUCCCUGGCUUCAGAAACCAGCCUCUGGGGAAGUGAAAGGUUCUGCACCAGAUCCCGAACAAGUGUCUCCUCAGGAUGCAGUUCAGACUCCACAGAUACAAACACCAACUGGUUUAAAUCUAGGAGAAACAGUUCAAGGUGUGUCACAAGAUACCCCUAAAGCCAGGACACACCCAGAGACACCUGUUAAAAUGACACAACAAACAGAGCAGCAAGAAAAAGACACUCUGAAAUUUGAAAAGCAGCCACACCCACAAAAACACCGUAUACAGCCAGAACAGCAAAAGGGACAAAAACGUGUUAAACCCAGCAUUGUAGCUGCAACGCAAGCUCAAAAACCAUCUCUGACCGCGACCCAGACUCUAUCCAGAGGGGAAGGCAAAGCACCAAUGAUUCAUCAAGCUACUCCAGAGGGCACCAAAUCACAGUCGCAAAGUAUUUUGACACAACAGCUUCAACCCCAAGCUCAGCCUCAACCAGUGCGCUUUCCAGUGGGACCCCAGCCAUCUGUUGAACAACAGAGUCAAGCCCAUGGACCUGCUGUUGCUCAAGUCAGGGCUCUCUCCCCGAUGCAGCCUCUGAUUCCAGGCCAAAUGCAAGUUCCUGUGCCAUCCCACAUUCAGGUCCGUACUCAUCCACAGGCUUGGGCACCUGUAAGGUCCCCCUCCCCUAAACCACAGACACAAGCACAACCUCCAACUCAUGGUCAACCUGUGGUUCAGGCACACAAACCGUCAUUUGGGCAGUCACAAAUGCACCCUCAGUCAACAGCCCAGAUCCGAGCCACUCCUCAGUCCAUGGCUUAUCCUCAGCCCCAGGCUCAACCAAUGUGUAGGCCAAGUCCAACCCAACCUCAGACCUUAUACCCAACCUAUCCCCAACAAUCGAUACAACCUCAGGAUACGUUACCCCCUGUCUCCCAGUAUCCCUCUUAUGUUCAGCCUAUCCAACAACCACAAGGUACGGCACAACCGCACCUGUAUCCCCAGGGUCAGUCUCCAUCACAGCAGUGGAUGGAAAAAGGCCAACAACUCAUUGUACAGCAAAGACCCCCAAUGCCUCAACAACAAAUCGGUCAAUCGCCAAACUCUCAGUUCUAUCAACAGGUUCAGACUCCCCCCCAGUGGGCCCAGCAAGGGCCACAUGUUAGACCCCAAGGGAUUUCUCCAAUGGGUCAGGUAUAUAAUCAGCCUCAAAUUCAACCCCAACCCUGGAAUCAAAUGCAAGCCCAGAAAAAUCAAGUACAGCCACAGGCCUGGGUUCAGGCACCUCCACAGCCAUACAUACCAGUUCAGCAACAAUCUCCAAUACACACUGGGAUACCUCCUCAAUCACAGACUCCACAGCAAGCCCAGUCUCAGCACCCUUCAAGAAGCAAACUCCAGACACAGCCACUCGCACCAGCACAGUUCCAGCAGCCUGCACCACAAACCAGGCAAGAACCUUGUCCUCUGACCCAGCCAGUGCCUCAAGUUCAUGGUCAAGCACCAAUUCAACCAAAAGCUCAGCCAUUUUUCCAAAAGAAAUCAGAAUCAGUGCCGCAGUCCAAACUGCAACCCAGGGCCCAGUCACCAGUCAAAGUCGAAGCACAACCAAAGCUGCAGGCCCAACCCAAAGUUCAGGCACAAACACCAGCACAGGUUCAGGCUCAGAUGCCCCCUCUUCCUCAAGCCCAAACAACUUCCCAAUCAAAGGUGCAGACACCUGCACAAACUGGACCUCAACAAACUCAGAACAUUCAGGCUUCUCAGGUUUUGCCUCAGGUUGAGUCACCUGAUUUGUGCAUGACACCUCCCGUUCUGGCCCAAGCUCCGCCACAGACCUAUACAGAGGCCUACACCAAGGCUCAGGCUUUGGCUAGGAAUGGCUUUGAGGAGGCUAAGCACUGCCUGCAGGCGCACAUCCUUGAUGCCAUCACUGUUCUGAAAGACAAACCUGCGACAGCAGAUCAAUGGUUGGAGAAAGAGGAGACCCUGACAACUUUGGAUGCAGAGCUGCUGGAGGAGUUUCUUAGAGCCGCUAAAGGCAUGGAGGCCUUUUGUACGACGUCACAGCUCAGAGACAUGGAGUUCUUCACCCAGUCUGUCACAGCGCAAUGGGAGGCCUGCUUUUCCAGAGACUAUUCCGAAGCAGAGUACCACCUGGAGGCCUUGAAGGAGCUGUGCGACACCCUGAGCCCCGAGGACGCUCACCGGCUUGCUCAAACUCAGCUGAGGGAGUGUGAGAAAAGGUUGGCCGCCAUCCAGCGCCAGUUCAGUGGAGACCAGGACGCAGCCAUCUCGGAUUCAAGGAUUUCUCUGGCCUUCAGUGAAGAUCUGUCUGCCCAAAAAUAUCCCACCACCAGCUCCACUCAGGUGAUGGUGAAACCAGUCAUCAUAGAGAAAAAGGAGGCUGAGAAACAACAUUC